rnacentral:rRNA from 1 species
GACGAACGCUGGCGGCGUGCUUAAUACAUGCAAGUCGAACGCAGUCGCGAACGGGUGAGUAACGUGUAUUCAACCUGCCCUUCAGAGGGGUACAACUGUUGGAAACGACCGCUAACACCGCAUACUGAAGUAGGGGAUUGCGUUUGAUUAGUUAGUUGGAGGGGUAACGGCCCACCAAGGCGAUGAUCAGUAGCCGGUCUGAUAGGAUGAACGGCCACAUUUGGACUGAGACACGGCCCAGACCCCUACGGGAGGCAGCAGUGGGGAAUCUUCCGCAAUGGACGAAAGUCUGACGGAGCAACGCCGCGUGAGUGAUGACGGCCUUCGGGUUGUAAAGCUCUGUUGAUCGGGACGCGGUACCGGAAUAGAAAGCCACGGCUAACUACGUGCCAGCAGCCGCGGUAAUUC